UACGAAGGGGGCUAGCGUUGCUCGGAAUCACUGGGCGUAAAGCGCACGUAGGCGGAUUGCUAAGUCAGGGGUGAAAUCCUGGAGCUCAACUCCAGAACUGCCUUUGAUACUGGCGAUCUUGAGUCCGGGAGAGGUGAGUGGUAACUGCGAGUGUAGAGGUGAAAUUCGUAGAUAUUCGCAAGAACACCAGUGGCGAAGGCGGCUCACUGGCCCGGUACUGACGCUGAGGUGCGAAAGCGUGGGGAGCAAACAGG
rnacentral:rRNA from 1 species